UACGUAGGCAGCGAGCGUUGUUCGGAGUUACUGGGCGUAAAGGGUGUGUAGGCGGUUGUUUAAGUUUGGUGUGAAAUCUCCCGGCCUAACUGGGAGGGGUCGUUCGAGACUGGCAGGCUUGAGGACUGCAGAGGUGGGUGGAAUUCCUGGUGUAGUGGUGAAAUGCGUAGAGAUCAGGAGGAACACCGGUGGCGAAGGCGGCCCACUGGGCAGUCACUGACGCUGAGGCGCGAAAGCUCGGGGAGCGAACGGG
rnacentral:rRNA from 1 species